rnacentral:lncRNA from 1 species
UCCAGCAAUGCAUUUUUUGUUUAGCUCACCUGCCUACCACCACUGAUAAGACAAAUCACGGAUCAAAACAGCGCUGUCUGGUAUAUGAUCAAAGAUGCAUUGUGACUGGGCUCCGGUUUUCAACUAGAUGUCUUGCAGUGAAAACUCUAGUGAAAGACAGGACGAAUCUCGUCGGCGAUCGAUGUCGAAGCUUGGCUUUGCAACUGACCGCCUUGGGGAGCCUCGGUUAUCUUUGACAUUCGAGAAUUGAGUUCCCUGUGUCAAUCCCAUAGAUGACGUUUUCGUAAGGGGAGGUUUCGUCGCCUUUGUUUUCUCAGGCUUUAAGGACAAUCAAGUACAGUAAUGCAUUUGUGAUUUAGCCUAGCACCACUAAUAAGACCUAUGGCGGGCCGGAACAGCGCUGACUGGUGUAGGAUCAAAAGUGCAUUGUGUUUGAGCUCGUAUUUCAACAAGAAUAAUCCACUCCAAAAUUGAGAUAUUUUCCUCAAUCUAGCGGGAAACUAAUCAGCGGACAGUCUUCAUCAGGUAUAUAAGCAACACAUAUUUGUGGCUUGAUGAAACAAUAACCUCAUAUGAGGGCAUUUGUAGGUCAGCUAUACAUAAAGAUAAAUUAAAUUCAGCCGUGUAGGGCUUUCAAGCCUCUGGUUAAGGUCAAUCAUUGUUUAAGAUUUGCUAACCUGCUCAACUUUAUCUCCUGAUGUAAAUUCCACUGCUCAAGAAUUUAGUGCAAGGAAGUUACAUAAGACGACCUACUCUUGAGGAGGCAAUAAGUUAUUUCCUGGCUGUAUCUCUUAGCCUCCUGGGUCUGUUGCAAGGAACAGAAGUGGAAACUGAGGAUCUCUUGCUCCGAUAUUAGAGGAAGGACAGUUGGGGACGUUUAGUCGACAUCAAACCCUUUAUAGAGAGAAAGAGUCAGCAUCAGACCCUUUGAUCACUUCAUGAUCCAUUGUGAGUAUCUUGGGAAAGGAGGUCUACGCAGAGCCCUGCAUAACCAUGACAAGGCUUCCUACCAUGAGAAGACACCCGGUAUUUCGAAGGCUGUGUUAGUGGCACUGAUUGGGCCAUACAUCCUUCCAGCACGGAUACACAUACUUCAAGAUGAGGCCAUCAUUCACGAUGACUCUUACAUCCACAGGUGACACCUGACCCAGCAGUGGUAUAACAGUACUACAAAUCCAGAUUUUCUGUAAAACUGAAAAAAAUUCCAAUGAAAACAUUUUUCCAUAGCCUAUUAUUACUACAAGCUACAGAGCCGACUCUUCAUAUUUUCUUUAACAUGGGUAUAUUAUUCACUUACGUUUCCUGCAUGUAUAUAAAUCCAGUAUAUUUUAUUAAUGCAAAAGUACCUCUUGAUUGCCAUUUGGUAACAUUCAUCUCUACCAGCUUCUGGAAAACAACUACUUUUUUUGAUAAUACCCCAUCAGAAACUGUAUUACACCAAAAGUAUUUCAGUAGAUUCUCGUCAAGUAGUAGAACAGGCUGGAAUUACUUGAGUGAUCAACGAAUGUUGUGUUAAUCCUCACCAGUGCAUGUCAGAUCAAACAAAAAUAGCAGUUCAACUGAAUGAUGUGAAGUUCUAUUUCGUGGAACUGGUGCUCAAGAAAAUCAUUAUUUUGAAAUAAACCUGAAACAUUUAUGUCUCCUAGCUUUACUGAAAUGUAAAACUUGACACGUGUUUCACCAACCAGUAUACUUCAUUCAGGAGAUAAAAUAGACUAGUCUACUUGGUUGGUGAGACGUGCGUCAAGACGAGCAUUGCAGUUCUGGUGUUUGAGAGCACUGCUUGGUUUGGAUUUCUCAUAUUUCUUACUUGGUAUAAUUCAACAGAUUCCUGCUGCAGAACUAUUAAUUCCCUGGCCAAUACCAAGACAGGUACUGGAUUACAUCCAACAAACGUGUUACUAGGCAGGAAAGUGGUUUUCCACCAGGAAUAGAAAAACGAUCGUCCGGCCUUGCGGUUCGAACCACCCGUUCACACAGCAGUCGAUUGAGUGAUUGUAGCAAACCACCCACAUCAACCCACCAGGCUAUCGUCCUACCAUGAAUCUCAUAAAAGUUAUUCGACUAUCUACUUCAUCAUAAUUUUCUUUUAUUUAGAACUUUACUGUGUAAAGAGAGGAAACUUUUCAAACCCCUCAUUUUAUUGUUAUGAUUCUAAAACAUAUUAAUAUGAUAAAUACAAUAUUUUGGUGAAAAACGUGUAUUGAAUUAAUAUGUUACUUGAAUGCGAUGUUCGCUGUGUAAUUUAUUCCACUGUUUCUACAAUAUCAACACAAGGUAAAUUCCACUUGUACUUGUCCAUCAACAACUGAUAGACUUCUGGCGAUGUCUUGUGGAUGGUAGCAAAAAAAUCAACAUCUUCCUCAGAUAGAUCGCAUUUACUAUUCAAAUUCAAUGUCAGAAUAGUGAAAAAAGAUGGAGGCAACUGAUCCUUAAGACUAUUCAGAAUUGUGCUAUUAUCCACCUUGGACUCUGACAGCGUUUUCUGUCUCAACAUCUUUUUUAUUGUAGCGAUGUCUCUGCUAUGUUGUUUGAUUUUACGAAGAUAAUUUCGCCCAAGGGUGGGCUUCUCCACAACAUUUUUCAUCACUAGGUUUCUCAUACUUGGACGGUGUCCCGUUUUUUUCUGUAGUUCGCUCAUUCCUGUUAGUUGCUCCUGAUUCUGAGUGUCAUACUCUUCCUCUACUUGGAUCCUUUGAAUACCGUUCCUAUGAACUCUGUUUGAAGAUUCAUUAAAAUCAGGAAGUUCUUUCUUUAUUGGAAGUGAGCAUCUUGGACUUCCUUCCAUUGGGAUAUCACCUCUCAAUUUCAUGUUAUAAUUUUCUCGAAGAGAACUGGAGGCUCUACUUGUGGACGGCUUUGCCACUAGCUGCUCUUGUUUGAUUUCAGGUUUGGGAACAGAGCUUGAAGGAACAAUCAUUCCAUUUUUAUAAAUAUAAGAUUCCACUUUCUGAGAUCGACUGAACAUGUUAUCUGUAUCCAAUACAAACAAAGUUCCAUCUGAACUUGCCGGUAACACUUGAAUAUCUUGCAAAUGGGAAGAUAUGAACAUUGGUGCCUCUUCAGGUUCAUCGUCACAUCCUAAAGUGGGAAUAGCACUUUGCAGUAAACGCUUUUUUUGGCUAUUUGGAAACCAUUUAUCUUCAAAAUGGAUUUCACAUAUAACUUUAUUUCGAAGUUGAUCUUCUUCUAAAUCACAGAAUUGUGGCUUUUGAGCAUUUUCAAUCCAAAUUUUACAUCUCUCUUUAUGUUUGACAGGAUAGUGAAAAAAA